UCCUCAUUUCACACGCUCUCUCACCGGUCAGAGUGGUGAGAGAGUUUGACAAAUGAAGAGA
rnacentral:pre_miRNA from 1 species